rnacentral:rRNA from 1 species
GUGAGGAAUUUUCCGCAAUGGGCGAAAGCCUGACGGAGCAAUGCCGCGUGAAGGAUGAAGGCCUAUGGGUUGUAAACUUCUUUUCUCAGAAAAGAAUUAUGACGGUAUCUGAGGAAUAAGCAUCGGCUAACUCUGUGCCAGCAGCCGCGGUAAGACAGAGGAUGCAAGCGUUAUCCGGAAUGAUUGGGCGUAAAGCGUCUGUAGGUUGUUUAAAAAGUAUUCUGUCAAAGAUUAGGGCUUAACCCUAGAUAGGCAGAAUAAACUUUUAAGCUAGAGUUUGGUAGAGGCAGAGGGAAUUCCCGGUGGAGCGGUGAAAUGCGUAGAUAUCGGGAGGAACACCAAAGGCGAAGGCACUCUGCUGGGCCAAUACUAACACUGAGAGACGAAAGCGAGGGGAGCAAAUGGGAUUAGAAACCCCAGUAGCCC